rnacentral:rRNA from 1 species
AGAUUGAACGCUGGCGGCAGGCCUAACACAUGCAAGUCGAGCGGCAGCACAGUGGUAGCAAUACCAUGGGUGGCGAGUGGCGGACGGGUGAGGAAUACAUCGGAAUCUACCUUUUCGUGGGGGAUAACGUAGGGAAACUUACGCUAAUACCGCAUACGCCCUUCGGGGGAAAGCCGGGAUCGCAAGACCUGGCGCGGAUAGAUGAGCCGAUGUCGGAUUAGCUAGUUGGUGAGGUAAUGGCUCACCAAGGCGACGAUCCGUAGCUGGUCUGAGAGGAUGAUCAGCCACACUGGAACUGAGACACGGUCCAGACUCCUACGGGAGGCAGCAGUGGGGAAUAUUGGACAAUGGGCGCAAGCCUGAUCCAGCCAUACCGCGUGGUGAAGAAGGCCUUCGGUUGUAAAGCCCUUUGUUAGGAAAGAAAAGCAAUCGGUUAAUACCCGGUUGUUCUGACGGUACCCAAAGAAUAA